rnacentral:rRNA from 1 species
AGAGUUUGAUCAUGGCUCAGAUUGAACGCUGGCGGCAGGCUUAACACAUGCAAGUCGAGCGGGGAAAGGUAGCUUGCUACCUGACCCAGCGGCGGACGGGUGAGUAAUGCUUAGGAAUCUGCCUAUUAGUGGGGGACAACAUUCCGAAAGGAAUGCUAAUACCGCAUACGCCCUACGGGGGAAAGCAGGGGAUCACUUGUGACCUUGCGCUAAUAGAUGAGCCUAAGUCGGAUUAGCUAGUUGGUGGGGUAAAGGCCUACCAAGGCGACGAUCUGUAGCGGGUCUGAGAGGAUGAUCCGCCACACUGGGACUGAGACACGGCCCAGACUCCUACGGGAGGCAGCAGUGGGGAAUAUUGGACAAUGGGGGGAACCCUGAUCCAGCCAUGCCGCGUGUGUGAAGAAGGCCUUUUGGUUGUAAAGCACUUUAAGCGAGGAGGAGGCUACUCUAGUUAAUACCUAGGGAUAGUGGACGUUACUCGCAGAAUAAGCACCGGCUAACUCUGUGCCAGCAGCCGCGGUAAUACAGAGGGUGCGAGCGUUAAUCGGAUUUACUGGGCGUAAAGCGUGCGUAGGUGGCCAAUUAAGUCAAAUGUGAAAUCCCCGAGCUUAACUUGGGAAUUGCAUUCGAUACUGGUUGGCUAGAGUAUGGGAGAGGAUGGUAGAAUUCCAGGUGUAGCGGUGAAAUGCGUAGAGAUCUGGAGGAAUACCGAUGGCGAAGGCAGCCAUCUGGCC